GGGAGGUAGGUGACAAUAAAUAACAAUACGGGGUUCUUUAGGAUCUCGUAAUUGGAAUGAGUACAAUUUAAAUCUCUUAACGAGGAACAAUUGGAGGGCAAGUCUGGUGCCAGCAGCCGCGGUAAUUCCAGCUCCAAUAGCGUAUAUUAAAGUUGUUGCAGUUAAAAAGCUCGUAGUUGAAUUUCGAGAUCGGCUUACUGGUCGUGCUAUUGUACGUACUGGUAUAAUCGGUUUCUCCUUUCUGACGAACUAUAAUGCCAUUAAUUUGGUGUUUUAGGGAAUCAGGACUGUUACUUUGAAAAAAUUAGAGUGUUUAAAGCAGGCUCACGCUUGAAUACAUUAGCACGGAAUAACGGAAUAGGACGUUUGAUUCUAUUUUGUUGGUUUCUAGGAUCGACGUAAUGAUUAAUAGGGAUAGUUGGG
rnacentral:rRNA from 1 species